UUUGAACCUGGCUCAGGACGAACGCUGGCGGCGUGCCUAAUACAUGCAAGUCGAGCGAGCUUGCCUAGAUGAUUUUAGUGCUUGCACUAAAUGAAACUAGAUACAAGCGAGCGGCGGACGGGUGAGUAACACGUGGGUAACCUGCCCAAGAGACUGGGAUAACACCUGGAAACAGAUGCUAAUACCGGAUAACAACACUAGACGCAUGUCUAGAGUUUGAAAGAUGGUUCUGCUAUCACUCUUGGAUGGACCUGCGGUGCAUUAGCUAGUUGGUAAGGUAACGGCUUACCAAGGCAAUGAUGCAUAGCCGAGUUGAGAGACUGAUCGGCCACAUUGGGACUGAGACACGGCCCAAACUCCUACGGGAGGCAGCAGUAGGGAAUCUUCCACAAUGGACGAAAGUCUGAUGGAGCAACGCCGCGUGAGUGAAGAAGGGUUUCGGCUCGUAAAGCUCUGUUGGUAGUGAAGAAAGAUA
rnacentral:rRNA from 1 species